UUGCAAUGAUGAAGCCAAAUAACUCAGUUUCCUCUGCAUU
rnacentral:sRNA from 1 species